GGUCACUUCAGUAUGGACUCCAUGGUCUCCUGCUCCUCUUAUAUACCCAUUACUUAUAUACCCAUUACUGUUCAGUAAUGUAAUAGAGAAGUUCCCACUGACAAAAUUCUAGUUUACACAGAAUUGUUUCUAUAUCAUGUGAGAAACAGCACUGGGUAUUCUUACGUUUUAUCAGUUAGUAGUGAUUAGAAAAAGAAGGAAGUAGAGCUUGGGAAGGGAAAGGAAAAAGCAGAAGGCAAACCAAGAAUAGAUGCAGCCUCAUCUUGCAACACUGUGGGAAGAAGAAAGCCCACGCUCAGAACCUCCCUCCUUGUGAUGUAAGUCGGCAGAGUGAUGAGGUGAACUUACACAACUUUAAGUUAUGAGAUAGAAGGGGUAAUAAAGUACAGCAC
rnacentral:lncRNA from 10 species